AGUGGGGAAUAUUGCACAAUGGGGGAAACCCUGAUGCAGCGACGCCGCGUGGAGGAAGAAGGUCUUCGGAUUGUAAACUCCUGUUGUUGGGGAAGAUAAUGACGGUACCCAACAAGGAAGUGACGGCUAACUACGUGCCAGCAGCCGCGGUAAAACGUAGGUCACAAGCGUUGUCCGGAAUUACUGGGUGUAAAGGGAGCGCAGGCGGGAAGACAAGUUGGAAGUGAAAUCUAUGGGCUCAACCCAUAAACUGCUUUCAAAACUGUUUUUCUUGAGUAGUGCAGAGGUAGGCGGAAUUCCCGGUGUAGCGGUGGAAUGCGUAGAUAUCGGGAGGAACACCAGUGGCGAAGGCGGCCUACUGGGCACCAACUGACGCUGAGGCUCGAAAGUGUGGGUAGCAAACAGGAUUAGAUACCCUGGUAGUCCACACUGUAAACGAUGAUUACUAGGUGUUGGGGGAUUGACCCCCUCAGUGCCGCAGUUAACACAAUAAGUAAUCCACCUGGGGAGUACGACCGCAAGGUUGAAACUCAAAGGAAUUGACGGGGGCCCGCACAAGCAGUGGAGUAUGUGGUUUAAUUCGACGCAACGCGAAGAACCUUACCAAGUCUUGACAUCCUGCGACGUGCAUAGAAAUAUGUAUUUCCUUCGGGACGCAGAGACAGGUGGUGCAUGGUUGUCGUCAGCUCGUGUCGUGAGAUGUUGGGUUAAGUCCCGCAACGAGCGCAACCCCUAUUGUUAGUUGCUACGCAAGAGCACUCUAGCGAGACUGCCGUUGACAAAACGGAGGAAGGUGGGGAUGACGUCAAAUCAUCAUGCCCUUUAUGACUUGGGCUACACACGUACUACAAUGGCGUUUAACAAAGAGAAGCGAAGUCGCGAGGCAGAGCAAAACUCAGAAACAACGUCCCAGUUCGGACUGCAGGCUGCAACUCGCCUGCACGAAGUCGGAAUUGCUAGUAAUCGCAGAUCAGCAUGCUGCGGUGAAUACGUUCCCGGGCCUUGUACACACCGCCCGUCACACCAUGAGAGCCGGGGGGACCCGAAGUCGGUAGUCUAACCGCAAGGAGGACGCCGCCGAAGGUAAAACUGGUGAUUGGGGUGAAGUCGUAACAAGGUAGCCGUAGGAGAACCUGCGGCUG
rnacentral:rRNA from 1 species